rnacentral:lncRNA from 1 species
CUCAAAAACCACUAUAAACCGUUAAAAACCCCUAAAAACACUUAUAAGUCCCUCAAAAACCACUAUAGACCCUUAAAAGCCCCUAAAAACACUUNUAAACCCUUCAAAAACCACUAUAAAUCCAUAAAAGCCACUAAAAAAACUAAAAACACUUAUUAACCCUUGAAAAACCAUUGUAAUCCCUUAAAAACAAUUAAGAAUCCAUAAAAACACUUCUGAACCCCUCAAACGCCACUAUAAACCCUUAAAAACAAUGAAGAACCCCUAAAAACACUUAUAAACCCCUAAAAAUUCAUUGUAAACCCUUAAGAACCACUAAAAUUCCUAAAAACACCAAUAAACCCCUCAAAAACCACUAUAAACCGUUAAAAACCCCUAAAAACACUUAGAAGCCCCUCAAAAGCCACUAUAGACCCUUAAAAGCCCCUAAAAACACUUAUAAACCCUUCAAAAACCACUAUAAACCCAUAAAAGCCACUAAAAAAACCUAAAAACACUUAUUAACCCUUGAAAAACCAUUGUAAUCCCUUAAAAACCAUUAAAAAUAAAUAAAAAUACUUAUGAACCCCUCAAAAGCCAUUAUAAACCCUUAAAAAGCACUAAAAACACUUAUAAACCCAUUAAAAACCACUAUAAACCCCUAAAAACAUUUAUAAACCCUUCAAAAACCACU